UGCGCAGGCGGGCUUGUAAGUCAGUGGUGAAAUUUUGCGGCUUAACCGUAAAACUGCCAUUGAUACUGCAAGUCUUGAAUAUGGUUGAGGUAGGCGGAAUGCGUUGUGUAGCGGUGAAAUGCAUAGAUAUGACACAGAACGCCGAUUGCGAAGGCAGCUUACUAAGCCAUGAUUGACGCUGAGGCACGAAAGCGUGGGGAGCGAACAGGAUUAGAUACCCUGGUAGUCC
rnacentral:rRNA from 1 species